UACGUAGGGCGCAAGCGUUGUCCGGAAUUUAUUGGGCGUAAAGAGCUCGUAGGCGGCUUGUCACGUCGGAUGUGAAAGCCCGGGGCUUAACCCCGGGUCUGCAUUCGAUACGGGCUAGCUAGAGUGUGGUAGGGGAGAUCGAAUUCCUGGUGUAGCGGUGAAAUGCGCAGAUAUCAGGAGGAACACCGGUGGCGAAGGCGGAUCUCUGGGCCAUUACUGACGCUGAGACGCGAAAGCGUGGGGAGCGAACAGG
rnacentral:rRNA from 1 species